rnacentral:rRNA from 1 species
CCUACGGGAGGCAGCAGUGAGGAAUAUUGGUCAAUGUGAGAGAUCCUGAACCAGCCAAGCCGCGUGAGGGAAGACGGCCCUAUGGGUUGUAAACCUCUUUUGUCGGAGAACAAAACCCGGUACGUGUCCCGGACUGCGUGUAUCCGCAGAAAAAGCAUCGGCCAACUCCGUGCCAGCAGCCGGGGUAAUACGGAGGAUGCGAGCGUUAUCCGGAUUUAUUGGGUGUAAAGUGUUCGUAGGGGGAGCGUUCAGUCAGUGGUCAAAUUGAGGGGCUAAACCCCUUCCCGCCAUUGAAACUGGCGAUCUGGAGUGGAAGAGAAGUAUGGGGAAUGCGUGGUGUAGCGGUGAAAUGCAGAGAUAUCACGCAGAACCCCGAUUGCGAAGGCAGCAUGCCGGCUUCCGACUGACGCUGAAGCACGAAAGCGUGGGGAUCGAACAGGAUUAGAUACCCGAGUAGUC